CAGAGAACAUCGCCCUCACGGGUGACUCUCCAACCCUGUGUUAUUUUAUACCUUUGUUGCUUUGGCGAGCCGCCUCGGCCACCGGCUCGCGCUGGUGAGUGCUCGCCAGAGGACCCCAAACUCUGAAUGUUAGUUUCGUCUGAGUACUAUAUAAUAGUUA
rnacentral:misc_RNA from 1 species